rnacentral:lncRNA from 1 species
UAGAUGGCAGGGCAAAGAUGGAGAUGUGAUUCCCAGGCCUUAGCAGCCAAGAAUGGAAGAGGCCGGACCCCGGUUCAGGGUUUGAUACAUGCCAUAGACGUUCUGGAGAGGGGAAGCACCAGCCGGAUGAAUCAAUCCUGCCCUGCCUGUUCUGAGGCCCAGACAAGGAGGCGGUGAAAAGACCCUGUCUUCUGCGAAGGGCUCUGCAUUCAUUCCCCUACUGCUGUUAGAGCUGUUCUGCCCCUGGGGAGGAGCGCAGACCUUGAAGUAGAAGGUUAUUCUUCUCAACUAAGUCCCGGCUCCAGGAGGGAAGGAGGUGGAAACCUACUCGGGACUCUAGAGAGCAAACCCCCUCAGAAGCAGCCCAGGUUUGACAGGUUUGGGAGGCCUGGCUGAGGAAAGCCCGAGGCCCAGGCUUCCCGGACCCCCUCUGAGAAGGCUCUGGAUGUGGGGGUUUGGAGCCCCUGUCUGCUCCCUGAGAUGUGGCAGGGCCCCUGGCAGGAGCCGUGGCAAACACUGGAGACAAUCUGGCUGCUCAUAAUAGGCGAUGGAUAAAAACAUGAUGGUGAAGUCUGAUGGGACCAUGGAGCCUCAGCUCAUAGUGAGCCAGAAUUAAUCAGGCCCCGGCUUACCUGAUACAGAGGAGACACACCUGUGUUCCUUUGGCACAGACAUUCUGGAGUCCCAGUGCCCAGGAAAGAAGACGGGAGGCAGUAGCAGAGCCUGGGAGAGAUGGCCUGAGGAUGUUGUGAUGGAAGACUGUAUAUGAUCAUAUGCACUGCUGUCCAGUCUGCAGAGCCAUGUGGGGGCAAGAAGCAGAGGCAAGGAGCUGCCUGCAUGUGGGCUCUGCUUCUCUAUCCCUCACUCCGUCUCCUCCGCUGCAAAAAGAGGACAGCAAUAGC